GUAAAUAUGUCCGAGUGGUUUAGGAGAUAGACUUGAAAUCUAUUGGGCUUUGCCUGCGUAGGUUCAAAUCCUGCUGUUGACG
rfam:Ipomoea nil DNA, scaffold: scaffold1961, cultivar: Tokyo-kokei standard.